rnacentral:lncRNA from 1 species
GGUUGGAAAAUUCUGCAUCUUUUCACUACAUUCUGGUUUUGGAACUUGAAGAUCGUGAUUCAACACUCCAGUGGAGAGCUCCAAGCACAUCGAGAGCAUGGAUCCACAAGCCAUGGCGAUGAAGCGAGGAAGCGUACGAAGAACGAUGAGGAGCUAAACUCCUUGGAGGUAGGAUCUAGGAUAGUUUAGGAUGUAGUUCAACUGAAUGUAACCUGCAAUGGUGUAAGAUCAUACUCUCUUUAUAGUGUUCAUUCAAUUCAAGUCUGUUUCUAAUGCUUUAUAAUCC